GUUUGAGUUCAUUUAUAGUCAGAGGGUUUUAAUUUACUUGUGAAGUUCACACUAUUGAAACUAAUUGCAAUGCUUGACUUUAUUUUCUUUAGAGUCCAAGAAAGAGAAAAACAAGGCAUAGCACAAAUCCCCCUCUAGAGUGUCAUGUUGGUUGGGUAAUGGAUUCCAGAGACCAUGGGCCAAGAACAUCCUCUGUCAGCACUUCAAAUGCUUCACCUUCAGAAGGCGCACCACUAGCAGGAAGUUAUGGAUGUACUCCUCAUUCAUUCCCAAAGUUCCAGCAUCCUUCUCAUGAACUUUUGAAGGAAAAUGGCUUUACCCAACAAGUGUACCACAGGUAUCGUCGAAGAUGCCUAAGUGAGAGAAAACGCUUGGGAAUUGGUCAGUCCCAAGAAAUGAAUACCCUCUUUCGUUUCUGGUCCUUUUUCCUCAGAGAUCACUUCAAUAAAAAAAUGUAUGAGGAAUUUAGACAACUUGCUUGGGAAGAUGCAAAAGAAAAUUACAGGUAUGGGUUAGAAUGUCUGUUCAGGUUUUAUAGUUAUGGACUGGAAAAAAAAUUCAGGCGAGAAAUUUUUCAGGAUUUCCAAGAAGAAACCAAAAAAGACUACGAAUCUGGUCAGCUGUAUGGACUAGAAAAGUUUUGGGCUUAUUUGAAAUAUUCUCAAUCUAAGACACAGUCUAUUGACCCAAAACUUCAGGAAUACCUCUGUAGUUUUAAGAGGUUAGAAGACUUCCGUGUUGAUGAGGCUGAUCCAAUAGAGUAAUACCUAAUUAUAUCACCAUGAGAUGGCAAAACGGAAUGUCAGAUCUGUAGACUUUUGACAGGAAAAAUCACCAUGAUCGAUUACUUCUGCUCAUCGUAAACAUCUAGUUCCUAAGCAGGAUAUGAGAAUCUGCCUUCCUGUGACCUCUCCUGGGCUCAGUGACACUCCAGUCGCCGCCCCACCCCACACCAAUGCCACUUCCAAGUUUGACUUGCAUCUUACAAACCAUAUUUCUGUUUACUUUUUUUCUGCCCUGGGACAUUUUUAAUAACUUUUAGAUAACAACUUCAACAAAAAUUUACCUCCCACCAAGAGAAGUUGUCUUUAUUGUGAGAAGUUGUCUUUAUUCCCAAGAAGGGGAAUAACUUGCUCUUUAAGUCAGUUUUAUUACAGGUAAAUUUGUACCAGCUUUUUCCUCUACUUGUGUUAAGACCUGUCUCCAAUAGACAUUCCAAUUGAGGAUUGUGGAAAUAGCAGAUUACAUUGGUGUCUGCCCACCACUGAAGGCAAAAAGCUGGUUUAUCUAGGCCACAGGCAGAGCCCGCAGGGGAGGCAGGUAACUUCUCGGACCACCAGAUUAUCUUGAUCUUCAGCCAGCUUUAUUGUUGUUCUACAUUUUAAUAAACACUACAUGUUUAUUUUAUUUUA
rnacentral:sRNA from 1 species